GAAGGAAACUGGCAAAUACAUGAAGUCAGUCUCCAUGGUGCGCUUCCACUCCAGGGACUGUACGAGAGGAAAAAAAGGUGCUUCAUAUCCCAACCAAAAGUAUUCUCUGUCUGAGGACCAUUGCCCAAGUGUGAAGUAGGAGACUUGUACAAUUCAAAGGCACCCAUGCGAUGCUCGUGCGAAGCUCUUUUCUCAGCCAGGCACGACAGCAGUGACAUCUCCACCGUGCUUGUCCCACGUCUCCAGAAAGGUGGUUCCAGGUACAAAAGCUCAAGUGGACUGGAGGCUCCCAAAGCUUCUCCCCGUGCCAUCUCCCCACUGGCUGCUGGGUCCAGUGGUGGCCGCUCCUUGGGUACUAGGAACUCCUCGUUCUACAAUGAGAAGCUGCAAGGACUCCCAGAGGCCCAUGGACUGGAGCUGUUAAUGUCCUGCAGAUGGGAGCCACUCUCUCGCUGUGAUCACCAAGGUACCCAGGGCCUCCGGAGGCCACAAAGAAUGGAUAAUUGCAACCCACAGGCCUCCUUCAGAUUUCCUGCAAGCCCUUCUGGUCAGCAAAUACUCUAUGAAGAGUAUGCAUGGAAUGGGCAUUAUUCCUUUCCUUAA
rnacentral:lncRNA from 1 species